ACGGUACCUGAAGAAGAAGCACCGGCUAACUACGUGCCAGCAGCCGCGGUAAUACGUAGGGUGCGAGCGUUAAUCGGAAUUACUGGGCGUAAAGCGUGCGCAGGCGGUUGUGUAAGACAGGUGUGAAAUCCCCGGGCUUAACCUGGGAACUGCGCUUGUGACUGCACGGCUAGAGUAUGGCAGAGGGGGGUGGAAUUCCACGUGUAGCAGUGAAAUGCGUAGAGAUGUGGAGGAACACCGAUGGCGAAGGCAGCCCCCUGGGCCAAUACUGACGCUCAUGCACGAAAGCGUGGGGAGCAAACAGGAUUAGAUACCCUGGUAGUCCACGCCCUAAACGAUGUCGACUAGGUGUUCGGUGAGGAGACUCAUUGAGUACCGCAGCUAACGCGUGAAGUCGACCGCCUGGGGAGUACGGUCGCAAGAUUAAAACUCAAAGGAAUUGAC
rnacentral:rRNA from 1 species